AUCCCGAUCCUUCGACACCGAUAAUUAUCAUUUAAAUGAGUAAAUGGUAAUUAGAGAGAAAGCAUUGGUCUUAUUCUCUAUUAAUCUAAAGAAUGAUUAAUAACAAGAAUUAGUGGAGUAGUUAGAAUCACAUGUGUUUAGUUGGGAUGCAACCAUAUGGCAUGAUGGUAAUUAACACUAAGUUGGAGGGCAUCAUGGGCACUAAAGAAUAAAUGCAUGGAAUAUUAGGUCUUGUUUUGGUGAAGACCCAUACUUGCCACUACCAAACCAGAAUUUUGGGGAAAGAAGAGCUUAGAAGUUAGUGGGAGAAAGAAGAAUCAUGUUCAUCUUUUCCAUUUUCGUAUUCCAUGGCAGCCUCCACUAAAUCAGCUUAUGUUUUGAAGGAGAAAAUUGAGCUUGAAGUUGGGACAUGCAUGCUGAUUGUAUGUUAAAGAGUGGAUACGGGUUUGAUGAAUUUGGAGUUGGAGUUUUGGUCAAUUGAGGAGCUCAAUUGCAGCAUGUUCAUCAUCCAAAGCUCCAUUGAUGCAAGGUGCAGUUUAGUAGCGUUUGGUCAGAAGCAGGUUCGGACUAAAGACUUGGAAGUGGUGUUGGCUCGAAGACCUCGUUGGUUUUGACAUUCCGCUGUGCAAGAUCCAUUGAAGACUCGUGUAUUAUGCUUCUUAGUAGAAUUUCAUGUUGUAUUUUAUAUGGAUCUUUCUAUAACUAUAGCUUUUGUAUGUACUCAAUAUCAAUUUUAACGUUUCAUGCAUAAUAUACUAGUCAGUUAUGUAUGGGGUGUUACAGUUGGUAUCAGAGCCUGGUUGAUUCUUGGCCGAGCCAUGAGACAUCACUAGCAAUUCCUUUUUCCUCCUCUCAAGUGUGCGUUUCUAGCCUGAUUUUACUAAAAUCUCAUUCAGUUGUUGAACUUGAUCAACUCAUCGACUGAGUGUGAGACAGUAGAAUUACGGCAGAGCCGCCACGAGGACUCGUAAAACCUGUAAGUGUCGUGAACCCAAGUAGCAAGGAUUAGUUGGGUGGUGAAUUAUAUAUGGAAGCUGGAUUUAUUGGAAGACGUGAGUAGAAGGGAUAUUGGAGUCGUCAAGCUUAAGGAGAGCGUUUGACGCGAAGUAGUGUUACCCGAACUGUCAAGGUGUGGAUUGAGGCAGCUAAAACCCCCAGGAUUUUGA